UCCUAUGGCCGUACCACCUUAACACAUCCCAUCUUGUCCGAUCUUGGUUAAGCAGGGUUGGGCCUGGUUAGUCGUCUGAUGGAAUACUAGCAGCUCGAGUUUUGGAGGGA
rnacentral:rRNA from 14 species